AAGAGCUCAGACGCUAUCACUA
rnacentral:rRNA from 13 species